rnacentral:misc_RNA from 1 species
AGCGACCUGUACAUAUUAGGCAGGUUAGAAAUACAAUGAAGUAAUACUGAGCUUUUUGUUUUAUUUUUUCCCUUUAGUAGUUAUACUUAUAUAAGUUACUAAUGUGGUUUAUUUCCAACUAUGGUUAUGUAUCAUGGUUGCUCAAACCAUUAUGAAGUAGAAUUUUAAUUUUCAAAUUUCUUACUUCACAUUUAGAAAUGAUUGAAUUACCAUAGUCAUGUAAUAGUAGUAUUAACAAAAAUCCAUUGGCAGAAAUUUGUAUGGAAAUGGAGUUAAUUAUAUAGAGGCAUUUGGAACAAAUAAAUUCCAUAUAUUUUUUUAUGGAAUUCA